rnacentral:lncRNA from 1 species
UUAAUAAGUCCAAUUAUUUUCAAAAAUUUUAUACUUUUUAAUUAUUUAUUGAUUGAAGUUUGGGUGAAAUUUUAGCUAAGAUCUAUGAUUCAAGUAAUAUUUAUUGAGGUUUCAAACAACUAUAGUAAUUAAUUAAAUUAUUUAGAAUUUAGGAUUUAGCUAGGACUUAAGAUUUUGUUAGGAUUUGAUUAAGUUUGGUCUAGAAUUUAG